AGUCUGCCCCGCAUUCCUAGCUCCACCGCUCCUUUGCAAGUGCACGCACAAGCCUCAGCUCCUUCUCAGGCCUGUUUGGAUCUUUGUAGGGGUUGUCCCCCGAUAAGCGCCUUGGCAUAGGCUUGAACGUUGCUGAUUUGAAACCUGCUUGGACUAUGGAGAGAUGGCUGAGGGAGAAUGAAUAUAAUGCUGCACUAAGCGCAGAGAGGAGAAAGCUCACUUCUGCCUCCUCAUGUGACAACCAUCAUUACUUCUUGACCACGGAUGGUUAACUUGCAUGUAGUUGCUGUAAGCAUUCCCUUUCCUUCCAUUUACAGAAAGAAGCAAAUGGUAUUUACUGGCUUCCUCUUUCCUGUGUCAUGACUUUCAUUUUUCUUAUCAGCAAACUAGAAUAGCCACUUAGCAGAAAAUAAUGACUUCAUAAUAAUAUAGUGGCUUGAAAAUGCUUUUGUAAACUGUAUUUGCUGUAUUGCUGAGUAUGAACCAAAUAAUAUAUAACUGUGAAAUUUAGUUUGAUUGCACAAACUGUAUGCACUAUAAUGAAAAGGUGUGAAAACAAUAAAACAUUUUUCUCCUAAUAAGUGAUCAAACAAAAAUCUGAUCUACGUACAUUUGCCAUUCUCAUGACUUUUAAAAAAAUAUCUCGUUAUUCCUUAAUUAUAAAGCAUAUAUAGAUGCUCAGCAAAUAGAUUAGAUGCUUAUAUGAGUAUUCCAGUGUCUCUUCUGGAAAAAUAACAUAAAACUGUCAUGUCCGACGCAAUCAGUGAUCCAUCUAGUCUCUAACAGUAAGCAGUACCAGCUGCUUCACAGGAAGGUACAAGAAAACAUUUAGAGGACAAUUAUGGAAAUACCUGCCUGUACGCAGGGAAGUUUCUUCCCAACUCCAUGAGAUGUGGUCCGAAGCAUUUAUUAAUUUUUAAAUGUAUCUGAUGUAAGUGUGGUAAUUCUGAUUACCCAAAUAAAUA